UCACAUUCAUCGCAAGUCUGUCAUCUGGAUCAGAAGGCGGGAGCCAUGGAAGAGCAAGAGGAGCUUCUGGUGCAGC
rnacentral:lncRNA from 1 species